UACGUAGGUGGCAAGCGUUGUCCGGAGUUAUUGGGCGUAAAGCGCGCGCAGGCGGUGCGGUAAGUCUCUGGUGAAAGCGCUCGGCUUAACUGGGCGAGGGCCGGGGAGACUGCCACGCUGGAGGGGAGCAGAGGCGAGUGGAAUUCCGGGUGUAGUGGUGAAAUGCGUAGAUAUCAGGAGGAACACCGGUGGUGUAGACGGCUCUCUGGACCGUAACUG
rnacentral:rRNA from 1 species